rnacentral:rRNA from 1 species
UACGGAGGGGACUAGCGUUGUUCGGAAUUACUGGGCGUAAAGCGCACGUAGGCGGAUUUGUAAGUCAGGGGUGAAAUCCCGGGGCUCAACCUCGGAACUGCCUUUGAUACUGCAAAUCUCGAGUCCGGAAGAGGUGAGUGGAAUUCCUAGUGCAGAGGUGAAAUUCGUAGAUAUUAGGAAGAACACCAGUGGCGAAGGCGGCUCACUGGUCCGGUACUGACGCUGAGGUGCGAAAGCGUGGGGAGCAAACAGG